rnacentral:rRNA from 1 species
UUCCAGACUCCUACGGGAGGCAGCAGUAGGGAAUUUUGCGCAAUGGGCGAAGGCCUGACGCAGCAACACCGCGUGAAUGUUAAGCCCUUCGGGGUGUAAAGUUCUGUCAAUAGGGACGAAUUUUGACUGUACCUAUAAAGGAAGCACCGGCUAACUCCGUGCCAGCAGCCGCGGUAAUACGGGGGGUGCAAGCGUUGUCCGGAAUCAUUGGGCGUAAAGAGUUCGUAGGUGGCACGUUAAGUCUGGUGUUAAAUGCAGAGGCUCAACCUCUGUUCGGCACUGGAUACUGGCGAGCUUGAAUGCGGUAGAGGUAAAGGGAAUUCCUGGUGUAGCGGUGAAAUGCGUAGAUAUCAGGAGGAACAUCGGUGGCGUAAGCGCUUUACUGGGCCGUAAUUGACACUGAGGAACGAAAGCCAGGGUAGCAAAUGGGAUUAGAUACCCGAGUAGG